UUUAGAAGCUGGGGAAUACGUAUUCCGUACAUAAAAAGGACUCGGUUUUGAAAACACAGUGAUUCAUUGAAGGACACUUUUCUGGGAAAUUCCUCAAGAUGCAGGCCAGUGAUAGAUUUAACAUCAAUUCCCAACUUGAGCAUCUUCAAGCAAAAUAUGUUGGGACUGGACAUGCAGAUCUGAACAGAUUUGAAUGGGCUGUUAACAUCCAACGUGAUAGCUAUGCUUCCUAUGUUGGGCAUUAUCCUAUGCUUGCCUACUUUGCUGUCGCAGAAAAUGAAUCUAUUGGAAGAGAGCGCUACAACUUUAUGCAGAAAAUGCUGUUGCCUUGUGGCCUUCCUCCUGAAAGAGAAGAUGAUUGAGAGUUUCUAGCAGAUAGAAUAGUUAUAUGUGGUGUUUACAUCUAGCUUCUCUUUCAUUUUUGUCUGAAAAUCAUGACGUGCUCCAUAGCAACUUGAUGAUUUCGAUUGUCAGAGUGAACGUUUGGUUUAUACUAUAGUUGAAUGGAACACUUUAAGACUUGGAAGCAAGGAUUUGAUGUGAUAUUUCUGCCCACUUUCAUACAGGUUCUACGUGAAACCUCGAGAAUGUGGGCUAAUGGCUUAUUGUUUAGCUUGAUUUCUUUUGAGGGCCAAUAGCUUAGCGUGACUUAGAAUCAAUUUGGUUUCUUCUUCAUGGUAAGCUCAAAAUUUUACACUGUUUGGAAACCAUUUUAAUGCAGUAAGAAAAGCCGAAUUAAUC